AGGAAGUAGUCCAUCACAGAUAUUAAUAAUGGUCCAAGGGCUUGUGUCCAGAACUGCAAAUCGCACCAAGUAAAACAGAUAAGUGAAGCAGAAAGGAGAGAUGAGUGAUAUAUCUCAGAGUCCCCCUACUUGGCAUGUUUCAGGAGACCUCAAAGGCUUAUCUCCUAUAUCUCUGGACACUUCUUAAAGACACAUCCAAGUGUGUGGGGGUUCCCAUUGGAACAGGGAGAAUCCCACCAGCAGUGACCUGAGCCCUCCAUACACAAGUCCCCUCCAGCAUCAAGUGCCAGUAGCUUUGUCCUGAGCCCCUCUUUUUCCUGUGGAUAAAACCUCUUCCUCAUUAGUAAUUUACAGAUGCAGUAUUGAGAAGGAGAUGAAAAGGGCUACAUGCAAAAGCCAGGAAAAAAAGGAUAAAUAUCAUGUGGGGUGAGUCCUCAGGAUGCUGUGGCCUCAGGAGGGAGAAGAGAACCGCUAAUCAAGAUGUAUAAGGAAGCUGAGUCAUACAGAGCAUUGAUGAAGCGGCUAUGGAGGAAAGACCACUGUCCUGCUCAGAAACUGAGGAUGCCACAUGCCUGAUGGUCCUGUGAUUACUGUUGUAUAACAGAGCAAUCUACUCCCUGGGUGAGCUGCUCAGAUCACCUUUUAAGACUGAGGCACUCAUUCCCUUGGGAAUGAUGGUUCUCAAUAUGUUCUCACACUACUCUGAAAAGAGCCACCUUGUCCAAUGGGCAGCCCCCAUCUAAUUACUGGUCCUUAUGGGAUCGGCUGAUUCCUUUUUUUUUUUUUUUUUGAUGAUUUCAUUGCAGUUCAAGCCUUCCUUAUGUGCAAUCUUACAUCCUUUGCUUCUCCAUAAAAAUUGAACUCAACUGUGCUCCCCACUAAAUCUUUGCAUAUGAAGCUCUAUCUCAGAAUUUGUUUCCUGGGAAACUCAACCAAAAAUAUAACAGCAACUGAGGUGGAGACAAUGGUGAAAGAAGUCUGUCUUUACUUAGGAAGC